rnacentral:lncRNA from 1 species
GUACAUAAGAUUUCCAAUCCGUGAAAAGGAGGAGCUAUUAUUGGCACGUGCUCUCAUAUUUUCCUGGCAAUAAAUACAGAUACCUGGCUACUUUAGUAUGGGAGGCAAAUACAUGAUGUAUGUACCAAGGCCAUUUGCCCAUUCUGAAUCUGGACAUCACUGAACUCUGAAGCUCUUGCAGUUUUAACUCAUUAUUAAAAAUGUCAAGAAAAGGGACACUCCAGUUCCCCACUACGUCUCUUUGAACAUGAAAUCCUGCUCUUGGAAAAUCGCAAUUUUGUGCCAAAUUGCUUCAAUUGUACUUCUGUUAGCAUGAAAACAUAUAUUUCAAGGGGAAUCGUGUUUUUCAUUGUUGUAGGCUACUGUCUAACCCAGUAGAGAUGGAUCAGAUGAGACCAUUAACACAUGAUCUUAAAGGACGAGCAUAUUACUUACAUUUCUUGAGAUGCAGAUUGUUAAAAGUGCUUUCCCAACUGUGAAAUUUCUAGUAGGAUUAAUUUUCUUUGCACCUAGUGAUGCAAGUAUGACCUCAUAGAGUGGUUGUUGAAGUUUGAUGUGCAAGCUUGUUAGAUCAGAAUGAGUUCCAGUUCAUGGUUCACGAACUAUUUCUUUUCUUGUGACUUUCUUAUGCAAAUGUUACUUUUCUCGUAAGCGUUCAAUAUGCAACCAUAUGCAUGAUCUUUCAGGUCGAUUACUCUAACUAGCCCCCCAUAAGUCCAUUAAACAACUUGUAUAUAUAAAACAACUAGGCUACAUAUGAUUUCGUGUCUGUAGAAGAUUAGAAGCUCUCCAAUCCUAGCAGACAACCAGACCCUUACUGCUACCCUUGAAUGAAAAUUAAGGAAAAGCUGGUGGCGAAAUGUGUUCGAGUGGCGAAAACCAACCUACCUUCCUUUUUGGCCAGAUUGAAUGGUUGGACUUCUUGCUUGCCAGUGUAGAUUUCUGAUUUUCUCAGAUAGGUCUUUUUCUCCAACCUAUCUAAAUGCAGUGGAAGUACCAUUUGGUGUCUUCCAGCAAAUUACGCAGAUGAAUAACAAUUCCAUUUCUGUAUGAAAAGAGCUGAUAUACAGUGGAAGUAUCAAUUGGCUUCUUGCUGGUUAGUCAAUGUCUCCAGGCGAAGGGCUUCAUAAGGUACCUUAAAGUGUAAGGUUAUUUCCACUCUCCAUUAAAUAAAUCUUAAUGCAGAUUCAAGGUUAUGCCCAAGCUUAUGUCUUAUGGUAGUAUCUUAUAGCUUACUAGGAUCUAUUCCAAAAUUUCUUAUAGCAUAACCUAAAGCGUAAGGUUAUUCCCUAAGAAUUUUUCCUAUUACUUUUUAAUGUAAGUACAAGUGGCCAAUAAUUUUAGUUGGGUGGAUUGUGAGGCAUCUUAAUUACAUUAGUCUCUCUAACAUACAAAAAUAAAUUCCUAUCUGUAAAGUAUACCUGGUAGAAAAUUUUAAAAUAAUAUUCAAUAAAAAAGAUA